AUAUGCUUAGAAAAUCGUAUCCAUUGCCCUCCGAAGGCAGAGGCCACAGGUUCGAAUCCUGUCGGGUGCGCCA
rnacentral:tRNA from 1 species